rnacentral:rRNA from 1 species
GCGCACCAGGCGAGAAACUUUACAAUGUGCGAAAGCACGAUAAGGGAACUCUGAGUGCCUCCUAAGGAGGCUGUUCUGAUGUCUAAAAGCAACAGAAGUAAGGGCUGGGUAAGACCGGUGCCAGCCGCCGCGGUAACACCGGCAGCCCAAGUGGUAGCCACGUUUAUUGGGUCUAAAGCGUUCGUAGCCGGCCAGGUAAGUUCCUUGGUAAAUUUAGCCGCUUAACGGUUAAGCUUUCAGGGAAUACUGCUUGGCUUGGGACUGGGAGAGGUCAGAGGUACUCCGGGGGUAGGGGUGAAAUCUAUUAAUCCCUGGGGGACCACCGGUAGCGAAGGCGUCUGACCAGACCAGGUCCGACGGUGAGGGACGAAGGCUAGGGGCGCGAACCGGAUUAGAUACCCGCGUAGU